rnacentral:rRNA from 1 species
CAGCCGCCGCGGUAAUACGUAGGGGGCGAGCGUUGUCCGGAUUUACUGGGCGUAAAGGGUGAGUAGGCGGUUAUAUAUGUCAGGUGUAAAAAGCUAUGGCUUAACCAUAGUAAGCACUUGAAACUGUAUGACUUGAGUGCAGGAGAGGUAAGCGGAAUUCCUAGUGUAGCGGUGAAAUGCGUAGAUAUUAGGAGGAACACCGGUGGCGAAGGCGGCUUACUGGACUGUAACUGACGCUGAGUCACGAAAGCGUGGGUAGCAAACAGGAUUAGAUACCCUGGUAGUCCACGCCGUAAACGAUGAGUGCUAGGUGUUGGGCAGCAAUGCUCAGUGCCGAAGUAAACACAAUAAGCACUCCGCCUGGGGAGUACGUACGCAAGUAUGAAACUCAAAGGAAUUGACGGGGACCCGCACAAGCAGCGGAGCAUGUGGUUUAAUUCGAAGCAACGCGAAGAACCUUACCAAGGCUUGACAUCCCCUUGACAGAUGCAGAGAUGUGUCCUCCUCUUCGGAGGCAAGGGAGACAGGUGGUGCAUGGCC